AACGAACGCUGGCGGCAUGCCUAACACAUGCAAGUCGAACGAGACCUUCGGGUCUAGUGGCGCACGGGUGCGUAACGCGUGGGAACCUGCCCUUAGGUUCGGAAUAACUCCCCGAAAGGGGUGCUAAUACCGGAUAAUGUCUUCGGACCAAAGAUUUAUCGCCUUUGGAUGGGCCCGCGUUGGAUUAGCUAGUUGGUAGGGUAAAAGCCUACCAAGGCGACGAUCCAUAGCUGGUCUGAGAGGAUGAUCAGCCACACUGGGACUGAGACACGGCCCAGACUCCUACGGGAAGCAGCAGUGGGGAAUAUUGGACAAUGGGCGAAAGCCUGAUCCAGCAAUGCCGCGUGAGUGAUGAAGGCCUUAGAGUUGUAAAGCUCUUUUACCCGGGAUGAUAAUGACAGUACCGGGAGAAUAAGCUCCGGCUAACUCCGUG
rnacentral:rRNA from 1 species